GACGAACGCUGGCGGCGUGCUUAACACAUGCAAGUCGAACGGAAAGGCCCUGCUUUUGUGGGGUGCUCGAGUGGCGAACGGGUGAGUAACACGUGAGUAACCUGCCCUUGACUUUGGGAUAACUUCAGGAAACUGGGGCUAAUACCGGAUAGGAGCUCCUGCUGCAUGGUGGGGGUUGGAAAGUUUCGGCGGUUGGGGAUGGACUCGCGGCUUAUCAGCUUGUUGGUGGGGUAGUGGCUUACCAAGGCUUCGACGGGUAGCCGGCCUGAGAGGGUGAACGGCCACAUGGGGACUGAGAUACGGCCCAGAAUCCUACGGGAGGCAGCAGUGGGGAAUAUUGCACAAUGGGCGGAAGCCUGAUGCAGCAACGCCGCGUGCGGGAUGACGGCCUUCGGGUGGUAAACCGCUUUCGCCUGUGACGAAGCGGGAGUGACGGUAAUGGGUAAAGAAGCACCGGCUAACUACGUG
rnacentral:rRNA from 1 species